CAGGGUCGGCGCAACAAGGACGUUGCGCCGAGGUUCGGCCGCGACAGGGAAGUCGCGUCGAACCGACCCGUC
rfam:Halothiobacillus sp. XI15 contig_11, whole genome shotgun sequence.